rnacentral:rRNA from 1 species
UGCAAGUCGAACGGAACAGUGAGGUAGCAAUAUCUUGCUGUUUAGUGGCGAACGGGUGAGUAACACGUGAGCAACCUGCCUGGAAGAGGGGGAUAGCCCGGGGAAACUCGGAUUAAUACCGCGUAUGGUUCCGCAAGUCAUCUUGCGGCGACUAAAGGUGGCGUAAGCUGCCGCUUCCAGAUGGGCUCGCGGCCUAUCAGCUAGUUGGCGAGGUAACGGCUCACCAAGGCAACGACGGGUAACUGGUCUGAGAGGAUGAUCAGUCACACUGGAACUGAGACACGGUCCAGACACCUACGGGUGGCAGCAGUCGAGGAUCAUUCGCAAUGGGCGAAAGCCUGACGGUGCGACGCCGCGUGGAGGAUGAAGGCCCUCGGGUUGUAAACUCCUGUCAUCAGAGAGUAAGGCUUCUGCGAGUAACUGCGCAGGAGAUUGAUAGUAUCUGAAGAGGAAGGGACGGCUAACUUCGUGCCAGCAGCCGCGGUAAUACGAAGGUCCCGAGCGUUGUUCGGAUUUACUGGGCGUAAAGCGUCUGUAGGCGGCGCGGCAAGUCAGAUGUGAAAGCCCGGGGCUCAACCCCGGAACUGCAUCCGAUACUGCCAUGCUUGAGGAUCGGAGGGGAGUCUGGAAUUCACGGUGUAGCAGUGAAAUGCGUAGAUAUCGUGAGGAACACUAGUGGCGAAGGCGAGACUCUGGACGA